rnacentral:lncRNA from 1 species
UGUGAAUCCAGUAUUACGUCGCACAGACAUAGAAGGACUUUUGCACAUGCUAUACAACGAUUCGUUGGACGUGCUUCCGGUGUAUGAUGUUAAUGCCACGUUUCAAUAUUCGCUGGUAAAGUAUUUGUUACGUACAUUUCGGCUGGCUAUUAAGUGUGUGCCGUCCGUCCAAUUUGGACGCACAGCGUCCUGGCGGCGUAGAAGUUAUGUUUUGGUUUAUUUUGCGGGAUGAUGACAUUUUGCCCGGGUGCGUAUGCUUGGUGGUAUUGUCACUGGUCGCACCAGCAUAUUCAUGCAAGUGUGCUGCAGCAGACGCUUGAGUUGUUGUCGAAAGUCACAUGUCAUUUCCUGUUACAGGUAAUGCGAGAUUCACAGGUCAAAGGAGAACAUCAAGGAAAUGGACCUCCCCCUAUAAGAAGACCAGCAAGGACAAGUCAUGAACGCGGACCUAAACGGAAGCAGACUAACAUCAACGUUGAGCUACAGCAAAUAGACCAGAGGGCGUGGGAAUGAAGACGAAGCCAUUGUGUGGCGACAUAACACGUGCAGGCUGUCUGGCGAACAGACCAUGCGAAGAAC